CAGCCGCCGCGGUAAUACGAAGGGUGCAAGCGUUACUCGGAAUUACUGGGCGUAAAGCGUGCGUAGGUGGUCGUUUAAGUCCGUUGUGAAAGCCCUGGGCUCAACCUGGGAACUGCAGUGGAUACUGGGCGACUAGAAUGUGGUAGAGGGUAGCGGAAUUCCUGGUGUAGCAGUGAAAUGCGUAGAGAUCAGCAGGAACAUCCAUGGCGAAGGCAGCUACCUGGACCAACAAUGACACUGAGGCACGAAAGCAUGGGGAGCAAACAGGAUUAGAUACCCUGGUAGUCCACGCCCUAAACGAUGCGAACUGGAUGUUGGGUGCAAUUUGGCACGCAGUAUCGAAGCUAACGCGUUAAGUUCGCCGCCUGGGGAGUACGGUCGCAAGACUGAAACUUAAAGGAAUUGGCGGG
rnacentral:rRNA from 1 species